CUUCCCAACAACCUUGCAGUUAGCAGGGGGCUGGCUGCUAAAAAAAGACGUUGGCACUCAGGCCAGCCCCUUUCUCUCAAAUACGGAGAAACAGAUCCCGUCAGGUCAAAGCCACACAGUGAGUAGCAAAGCGGAGACCGGCGCCCGACCCGGGCGCGUGCCGAGGGACCACCAUGGCGCCCGCGGCGGCCCUUUAAGAGCGCCUGGAGGACUCGCGUCCCAAGCCGCCGCGACCUUCUACCUGCCGUCUCUAUGGUAGGGCCUCACUUCCGGCGGAAGUGCGUGUGCGGAGCUGCCUCAGCUAAGGAGGGUGGGAGGCGGGGCGCGCGUGUUCUGUCGUUCCGGGAGCUGUGCGGCCGGCUUCUCCCGCGCUCUGCGGGCUGGGUUUCCAGAGAAAAUCAGGAGUAUCCAGCCUCUGGCGUUUCCAUGAAGGCAGGCGGAUAUUAA
rnacentral:lncRNA from 1 species